GACGAACGCUGGCGGCGUGCUUAACACAUGCAAGUCGAACGGAAAGGCCCUGCUUGCAGGGUACUCGAGUGGCGAACGGGUGAGUAACACGUGGGUGAUCUGCCCUGCACUUCGGGAUAAGCUUGGGAAACUGGGUCUAAUACCGGAUAGGACCGCACUUUAGUGUGUGUGGUGGAAAGUUUUUUCGGUGUAGGAUGAGCUCGCGGCCUAUCAGCUUGUUGGUGGGGUAAUGGCCUACCAAGGCGGCGACGGGUAGCCGGCCUGAGAGGGUGUACGGCCACAUUGGGACUGAGAUACGGCCCAGACUCCUACGGGAGGCAGCAGUGGGGAAUAUUGCACAAGGGGCGCAAGCCUGAUGCAGCGACGCCGCGGGGGGGAUGAAGGCCUUCGGGUUGAAAACUCCUUUCGCUAGGGACGAAGCUUUUUGUGACGGUACCUAGAUAAGAAGCACCGGCUAACUACGUG
rnacentral:rRNA from 1 species